GAAAUGCGAUAAGUGAUGUGAAUUGCAGAAUUCAGUGAAUCAUCGAAUCUUUGAACGCACAUUGCGCCUAUUAGUAUUCUAGUAGGCAUGCCUGUUCGAGCGUCAUUUCAACCCUCAAGCCCUGGUUGCUUGGUGUUGGGAGCUUGCUGUGAAACGCAACCCCUCAAAGCUAGCUGGCAGAGUCGGGAUGCACUCUAAGCGUAGUAAACUUGAUAGUCUCGCUUCUGCAGUUGUCCCGGCCGUCUUGCCAUAAAAGCCCAAACUUUUUUUGUUUUCUAUGGUUGACCUCGGAUCAGGUAGGAAUACCCGCUGAACUUAAGC
rnacentral:misc_RNA from 1 species